rnacentral:rRNA from 1 species
UACGUAGGGGGCAAGCGUUGUCCGGAUUUAUUGGGCGUAAAGAGCGUGUAGGCGGCUUUACAGGUCCGUUGUGAAAACUCGGGGCUUAACCCCGAGCCUGCUUCUGAUACGGGCAGACUAGAGGUAUGCAGGGGAGAACGGAAUUCCUGGUGUAGCGGUGAAAUGCGCAGAUAUCAGGAGGAACACCGGUGGCGAAGGCGGCUCUCUGGAACGCAACUGACGCUGAGACGCGAAAGCGUGGGGAGCAAACAGG